UACAGAGGGUGCGAGCGUUGUCCGGAAUUAUUGGGCGUAAAGGGCUCGUAGGCGGUUUGUUGCGUCGGGAGUGAAAACUUACAGCUUAACUGUGAGCGUGCUUCCGAUACGGGCAGACUUGAGGUAUUCAGGGGAGAACGGAAUUCCUGGUGUAGCGGUGAAAUGCGCAGAUAUCAGGAGGAACACCGGUGGCGAAGGCGGUUCUCUGGGAAUAUCCUGACGCUGAGGAGCGAAAGUGUGGGGAGCGAACAGG
rnacentral:rRNA from 1 species